GUGUAGCGGUUAGCAUGUCUGCUUUACACGCAGAAGGUUCUGGGUUCAUGCCCCAG
rnacentral:tRNA from 1 species